GCUUGUGUAGCUCAGUUGGCAGAGCAGUUCCCUCGUAAAGAACCGGUCGUGCGUUCGAAUCGCAUCACAAGCUCCA
rnacentral:tRNA from 1 species